GGGGAGAUGCCCGAGUGGCCAAUGGGAGCAGACUGUAAAUCUGCCGGCUUAUGCCUACGGAGGUUCAAAUCCUCCUCUCCCCACCA
rnacentral:tRNA from 1 species